GACGAACGCUGGCGGCGUGCUUAACACAUGCAAGUCGAACGGAAAGGCCCUGCUUUUGUUGGGUGCUCGAGUGGCGAACGGGUGAGUAACACGUGAGUAACCUGCCCUUGACUUUGGGAGAACUUCAGGAAACUGGGGCUAAUACCGGAGAGGAUCUCCUGCUGCAUGGGGGGGGUUGGAGAGUUUCGGCGUUUGUGGAUGGACUCGCGGCUUAUCAGCUUGUUUGUGGGGUAGUGGCGUACCACGGCUUUGACGGGUAGCCGGCCUGAGAGGGUGAACGGCCACAUUGGGACUGCGAUACGGCCCAGACUCCUACGGGCGGCAGCAGUGGGGAACAUUGCACAGCGGGCGGACGUCUGAUGCAGCAACGCCGCGUGCGGGAUGCCGGCCUUCGGGUUGUAAACCGCUUUGGCAUGUGACGAAGAGUGAGUGACGGUAAUGGGUAAAGAAGCACCGGCUAACUACGUG
rnacentral:rRNA from 1 species